rnacentral:tRNA from 1 species
UUAAUUGAAGCCAAAAAGAGGCGUAUCACUGUUAAUGAUAAAAUUGAGGUCAACCUCCAAUUAAG